UACGUAGGGGGCAAGCGUUGUCCGGAAUCAUUGGGCGUAAAGAGCGCGUAGGCGGUCCGAUAAGUCGGCUGUGAAAGUCAGGGGCUCAACCCUUGAAAGCCGGCCGAUACUGUCGGACUAGAGUCCGGAAGAGGCAAGUGGAAUUCCUGGUGUAGCGGUGAAAUGCGCAGAUAUCAGGAGGAACACCAAUGGCGAAGGCAGCUCGCUGGGACGUGACUGACGCUGAGACGCGAAAGCGUGGGGAGCAAACAGG
rnacentral:rRNA from 1 species